AGUGAACGCUGGCGGUAGGCCUAACACAUGCCAGUCGAACGGCAGCACAGUAAGAGCUUGCUCUUACGGGUGGCGAGUGGCGGACGGGUGAGGAAUACAUCGGAAUCUACUUUUUCGUGGGGGAUAACGUAGGGAAACUUACGCUAAUACCGCAUACGAUCUACGGGUGAAAGCAGGGGAUCUUCGGACCUUGCUCGAUUGAAUGAGCCGAUGUCGGAUUAGCUAGUUGGCGGGGUAAAGGCCCACCAAGGCGACGAUCCGUAGCUGGUCUGAGAGGAUGAUCAGCCACACUGGAACUGAGACACGGUCCAGACUCCUACGGGAGGCAGCAGUGGGGAAUAUUGGACAAUGGGCGCAAGCCUGAUCCAGCCAUACCGCGUGGGUGAAGAAGGCCUUCGGGUUGUAAAGCCCUUUUGUUGGGAAAGAAAAGCAGCAGGUUAAUACCCCGCUGUUCUGACGGUACCCAAAGAAUAAGCACCGGCUAACUUCGUG
rnacentral:rRNA from 1 species